AUUUAUAUAGUUUAAAAAAAAACAUUACACUUUCACUGUAAAAAUAAAUAAAUAUUUUAUAAAUA
rnacentral:tRNA from 1 species